UAGGCCUAACACAUACAAGUCGAGGGGUAUAGUUCUUCGGAACUAGAGACCGGCGCACGGGUGCGUAACGCGUAUGCAAUCUACCUUUUACAGGGGGAUAGCCCAGAGAAAUUUGGAUUAAUACCCCAUAGUAUGUUGAAGUGGCAUCAUUUUAACAUUAAAGUUCCAACGGUAAAAGAUGAGCAUGCGUCCCAUUAGCUAGAUGGUAAGGUAACGGCUUACCAUGGCGACGAUGGGUAGGGGUCCUGAGAGGGAGAUCCCCCACACUGGUACUGAGUCACGGACCAGACUCCUACGGGAGGCAGCAGUGAGGAAUAUUGGACAA
rnacentral:rRNA from 1 species